rnacentral:rRNA from 1 species
GAUGAACGCUGGCGGCGUGUCUAAGGCAUGCAAGUCGAACGGACUGUUAUUUGUAGCAAUACUUAGAACAGUUAGUGGCAAACGGGUGCGUAACACAUUGGUAACCUGCCUCAAAGUCGGGCAUAAUCCCGCGAAAGUGGGACUAAUUCCACGAUGGUCAUCGAAGGUGAGAUUCCUUCGAUGUAAAGUCGCAAGACGCUUUGAGAGGGGCCUAUGGCCUAUCAGCUUGUUGGUGAGGUAACGGCUCACCAAGGCUAUGACGGGUAGGGGGUGUGAGAGCACGACCCCCCUNACUGGGACUGAGACACUGCCCAGACACCUACGGGUGGCUGCAGUCGAGAAUAUUCCCCAAUGGCCGAAAGGCUGAGGGAGCGACGCCGCGUGCAGGAAUAAGGCC